rnacentral:rRNA from 1 species
GACGUAGGGCGCGAGCGUUGUCCGGAUUUAUUGGGCGUAAAGAGCUCGUAGGCGGUUUGUCGCGUCUGCUGUGAAAACCCGAGGCUCAACCUCGGGCCUGCAGUGGGUACGGGCAGACUAGAGUGCGGUAGGGGAGAUUGGAAUUCCCGGUGUAGUGGUGAAAUGCGUAGAGAUCGGGAGGAACACCUGUGGCGAAGGCGGCCCCCUGGGCCGGCCCUGACACUGAGACGCGAAGGCGUGGGGAGCGAACGGG